rnacentral:rRNA from 1 species
GGGUAGUUUAACUGGGGCGGUUGCCUCCUAAAGGGUAACGGAGGCGCCCAAAGGUUCCCUCAGCCUGGUUGGCAAUCAGGUGGUGAGUGUAAGUGCACAAGGGAGCUUGACUGUGAGACCGACGGGUCGAGCAGGGACGAAAGUCGGGACUAGUGAUCCGGCGGUGGCUUGUGGAAGCGCCGUCGCUCAACGGAUAAAAGGUACCCCGGGGAUAACAGGCUGAUCUUCCCCAAGAGUCCAUAUCGACGGGAUGGUUUGGCACCUCGAUGUCGGCUCGUCGCAUCCUGGGGCUGGAGUCGGUCCCAAGGGUUGGGCUGUUCGCCCAUUAAAGCGGUACGCGAGCUGGGUUUAGAACGUCGUGAGACAGUUCGGUCCCUAUCCGCUGCGCGCGCAGGAGUCUUGAGAAGGGCUGUCCCUAGUACGAGAGGACCGGGACGGACGAACCUCUGGUGUGCCAGUUGUCCUGCCAAGGGCAUGGCUGGUUGGCUACGUUCGGGAGGGAUAACCGCUGAAAGCAUCUAAGCGGGAAGCCUGCUUCGAGAUGAGGACUCCCACCCACUUGAUGGGGUAAGGCUCCCAGCAGACGACUGGGUUGAUAGGCCGGGUCUGGAAGCACCGCAAGGUGUGGAGGUGACCGGUACUAAUAGGCCGAGGGCUUGUCCUCAGUUG